rnacentral:rRNA from 1 species
AACGAACGCUGGCGGCAGGCCUCAAACAUGCAAGUCUAGGGGGUGCAGCAAUGCAUCACCGGCGGACGGGUGCGUAACGCGUGGGAAUAUACCUAUUGGUUCGGAACAACUGCGGGAAACUGCAGCUAAUACCGAAUGUGCCCUAACGGGGAAAGAUUUAUCGCCAAUGGAUUAGCCCGCGUAGGAUUAGCUAGUUGGUGGGGUAAUGGCUCACCAAGGCUCCGAUCCUUAGCUGUCUGAGAGGAAGAUCAGCCACACUGGGACUGAGACACGGCCCAGACUCCUACGGGAGGCAGCAGUUGGGAAUCUUGGACAAUGGGGGAAACCCUGAUCCAGCCAUGCCGCGUGAGUGAUGAAGGCCUU